CAUUCAACAGACGGACCAAAACAGGAAGUGACGUAAUAAUGAACCCAGCUGUUGACUGACUGAAAGCUGUCUGAAGCUAAUGCUAAGCUAAUGCUAAGCUAAUGAAGCUAACCCAUGUGUUUGAUCUGUUGACGUUAGUUUCUUUAACUGUCUGGUUUUAAGUGAACAUUGGAGUUAAUGUUGAGAUAAACCUGUUAAAGAUGUGGAAGAAAGGCUCGUCUGAAGGUUCAGACCGGUUUGAGUAUCUACAGACUUUAGUCACUGAGUUCCAGGACACAGACAGUGAAGAGGCAAAGGAGCAGGUGCUUGCUAACCUGGCCAACUUUGGGUACGACCCAAAGAACAUGGAGUAUCUGAGGGAGCUGCAGGUCGCUGACCUCUUCUUGGACGCGCUCACUGAGGAGAAUGACAACUUUGUGGAGUUUGGGAUGGGGGGGCUGUGUAACCUCAGUAUGGACCCUGCAUGCCAACGCGUCAUCCUGCAGAGCGGCGGGAUCAGCUUAGUCACAAACUGUCUGUCGAGCCAGAGGGAGGAGACCGUCCUGUCGGCCAUCACUACGCUGAUGAACCUCACGACGCCCUCGUCACGCUCUGAGAUCACUGAUCCGGCCAUCCUGCAGUGCAUGCUGCGCUUCUCCCUCUCAGAGAGCCCGCGUCUGCGCAACCUGGCCGCUGUGUUUCUGCAGGACUGCUGCACCGCGGAGCAGGUGGCCCGGGCGGAGCAGCAGAUGCAGGGACCACAGACUGCAGUCGGCAUCCCGCUGCCCAAGGACUAAGUUACAGAUGGGGGCAUUCAUGCAGGAUAAAAAAGAAGAACUGUGGAGAACUGAGCGAUUCAACAUCUACAACAAGUUCAGCGGUGAUCUUCAGUAAACCUUUUCACCAUCCAUGGAGGACCCAGUGAUAGUGGCCAACAAGAUUAUUAGGGACCCCAACCGCCCAACGGUUCUACCUGCAGCAGUCGAUACAACACCACCAGACUCAGGGACAGCUUCAUCCCGCUGGCCAUUGGACUUUUGAACUCAUCAGUACAUCAUUGUCUCUUUUCCUUCAUUUUGUCACUUCAAAUUUAUAUACUUCUAUUUAUUGUUUUACAACCUGUAUAUAUUUUUAUUACGUCCCAUUACACAUGUGUGUACAUAAAUUCCAUUCCUGUUUAACAUAAAUAUAUAUUUUAUAUUUUACAUAUGUUAUCCCUGUAUUUUAACUUUGCAAUACUUUGUCUCAGUUUCCCUUUUUCUUACGUUUGUGAUUUUCCUUUUUCACAAAUAUUUAAUGAGCAUUCUUUGAGGGGAGUCUGAGAUCUAAGAUUUCUAUUGCCAAUGACACUGCUUCUCUGUAAUUUUGUAUAUGAAAAUAAAGAACUUGAAAAAUA